GUGUGUUUAUUUUGUGUAAUUCCAUGAGUUGAAAGGAAUAUUGGAGUGAAGCAUUUGUGUAGGACUCAAUUAGCAAGGAGUAUGUCAGGUGUUCUUGAGGUGAGUGCAUGGAAAUUUUCUUGAUAAGAUCUGUGUAGGGUAUGAAGAAGAGGCUUUAUAAGUGUUUGAUUGGGAAUGCGCAUAUGGUUAUGAAGAUAUGCUUGAAUGUCUGUUUGUGUGCAUGCGGAUGGGUGCCUUGCAUAUUAGUAAAUAGCUAGUGUUAGGU
rnacentral:lncRNA from 1 species